rfam:Dipodomys ordii contig_52505, whole genome shotgun sequence.
GGGAACGUGGCUCAGUAGUAGAGUGCUUGCCUUGCAUGCAUGAGGCCCUGGGUUCAAUUCCUCAGCACCA